GACGAACGCUGGCGGCGUGCUUAACACAUGCAAGUCGAACGGUAAGGCCCUUCGGGGUACACGAGUGGCGAACGGGUGAGUAACACGUGGGUGAUCUGCCCUGCACUUCGGGAUAAGCCUGGGAAACUGGGUCUAAUACCGGAUAGGACCACUGCCUGCAUGGGUGUUGGUGGAAAGCUUUUGCGGUGUGGGAUGGGCCCGCGGCCUAUCAGCUUGUUGGUGGGGUGAUGGCCUACCAAGGCGACGACGGGUAGCCGGCCUGAGAGGGUGACCGGCCACACUGGGACUGAGAUACGGCCCAGACGCCUACGGGAGGCAGCAGUGGGGAAUAUUGCACAAUGGGCGCAAGCCUGAUGCAGCGACGCCGCGUGAGGGAUGACGGCCUUCGGGUUGUAAACCUCUUUCAGCACCGACGAAGCGCAAGUGACGGUAGGUGCAGAAGAAGGACCGGCCAACUACGUGCCAGCAGCCGCCGGUAA
rnacentral:rRNA from 1 species